GACGAACGCUGGCGGCGUGCUUAACACAUGCAAGUCGAACGGAAAGGCCCUGCUUUUGUUGGGUGCUCGAGUGGCGAACGGGUGAGUAACACGUGAGUAACCUGUCCUUGACUUUGGGAUAACUUCAGGCAACUGGGGCUAAUACCGGCUAGGAGCUCCUGCUGCAUGGUGGGGGUUGGAAAGUUUCGGCGGUUGGGGAUGGACUCGCGGCUUAUCAGCUUGUUGGUGGGGUAGUGGCUUACCAAGGCUUUGACGGGUAGCCGGCCUGAGAGGGUGACCGGCCACAUUGGGACUGAGAUACGGCCCAGAGUCCUACGGGAGGCAGCAGUGGGGAAUAUUGCACAAUGGGCGGAAGCCUGAUGCAGCAACGCCGCGGGCGGGAUGACGGCCUGCGGGUUGUAAACCGCUUUCGCCUGUGACGAAGCGUGAGUGACGGUAAUGGGUAAAGAAGCACCGGCUAACUACGUG
rnacentral:rRNA from 1 species